rnacentral:rRNA from 1 species
GUGGGGAAUUUUGGACAAUGGGCGAAAGCCUGAUCCAGCCAUGCCGCGUGCAGGAUGAAGGCCUUCGGGUUGUAAACUGCUUUUGUACGGAACGAAAAGACUCCUUCUAAUAAAGGGGGUCCAUGACGGUACCGUAAGAAUAAGCACCGGCUAACUACGUGCCAGCAGCCGCGGUAAUACGUAGGGUGCAAGCGUUAAUCGGAAUUACUGGGCGUAAAGCGUGCGCAGGCGGUUAUAUAAGACAGAUGUGAAAUCCCCGGGCUAAACCUGGGAACUGCAUUUGUGACUGUAUAGCUAGAGUACGGUAGAGGGGGAUGGAAUUCCGCGUGUAGCAGUGAAAUGCGUAGAUAUGCGGAGGAACACCGAUGGCGAAGGCAAUCCCCUGGACCUGUACUGACGCUCAUGCACGAAAGCGUGGGGAGCAAACAGGAUUAGAAACCCGUGUAGUCC